GCCCCGUAGCGAGUACACCAAAAUGCAACCUUGGAAACGCACCCUAAAAGGUGCCGGGGCUUCUCCCGUUUUAAGCGAGACGGGAGAAGA
rnacentral:tRNA from 1 species